AACAUUUGCUUAUCCCUGGGGCAAGAAUAAAACACGACAAAGGAAUGAAGUUUCAUCAUCUCCACCUGCUGGAGUUGUGUCUUCUCCCAUGUUAGUCAACUGAAGGUGCUAGUCAGAUGCAGUUAAGAUGUGCAGCUUUUGUUUAACUGACAACCAUUUAGCAGAGUCCUUGCUGUACUGCACGUUCUCUUGAGACGUGCCAGGCAUCACACUGCACAGUGUCAUGAUGCUGGGCAGGCUGCUGGCCGUGAACAGGAAAACCUCACUAGGUUUUCCCAUUGCUGCUAGAGCAAGAAAGCGUUUAAUUCUGUAAACAGGAUCCAAUGCUAUAAUCUCCAGGUGGAUGCCUCAAAGACAAUUUCUGUAAGCUGCCUUUUAUCUGGAACAAAGAGCUUUGGUUUAAACUUCUUGAAGAACACCACCACCACACUCCAUAACAAAGAAUGUGUAGACCAAGUAAUUAAACAGAGAAUAAUUCUUUACAGAUCACUCUGAUAGCAUUCUGCCAUCUCAUCAGAGCGUUGUUCUGUGAGCAGCUGGAAAUCAGUGCCAUGGAGUAAAUUUCUCUUGACCUAUUUGCUGCUCAAACCAUUGUACCUAAGAGUGCUUCACAUGAGAAGUGCCGCUGCUCUCAGCAUUGUGGCUGCUGGGGAAGUUUGUCAGAGCACUAAAUAAGCAGUGAAAAAAUAACUGAAAGACAUGACAAAAAACGCCUUUAUAGAACCACUGCCUUUUUAAACAUGCACAAGAUGGAAAUGAUAAUACAUAAUUAAUACAUGUACAACUGUAUAACAAAAAUAGUCUUACGCUAUCUGCUAAUGCACAUCAGCGGCAGUGUUACAGUGCAGUAGUAUAGUAUCGAAGGAAGUGCCUAAAUAGGUGGAUAAACAGAACAGUUUUUUUCUCAUGGGUUUUAAGUGGUUUCAUAGUACCAGCACAUUUGUUACCCUCAGACCUUAAAUAUACACAUCAUUCAUUCUUCAAUCAUAAUCUGUCUCAUAUAGUAAGAUGAUCUUUGUCAAUGUUGGAAAUGCAAAACAUCACUCAAACCU